rnacentral:rRNA from 1 species
UACGAAGGGGGCUAGCGUUGCUCGGAAUGACUGGGGCGUAAAGGGCGCGUAGGCGGCUCAUACAGUCAGAUGGUGAAAUUCCUGGGCUUAACCUGGGGGCUGCAUUUGAUACGUGUGGGCUUGAGUGGGGAAGAGGGUCGUGGAAUUCCCAGUGUAGAGGUGAAAUUCGUAGAUAUCGGGAGGAACGCCGGUGGCGAAGGCGGCGACCUGGGGUAGAUACUGACGCUGAGGCGCGAAAAGCGUGGGGGAGCAAACAGG